UUUGUCGAUUAAGAUUAAACGUUUGGAAUUUUUGAACGAUAAUACAUAGUUCUAAAUUUAAUAUCACACAGACACGGUUAAUAUAAAUGCAUCUAUUACUGUAGUACACUCGUAUAUCUAUUAACCCGUGGCACUAGAACGUGUGCGCUUUUGUACGAUACGAUUUUUUUUCUCUCAUCCUAUUUUGGCGCACAUGUCCUCCGCCGGUGCUCAACGAUAAACCAGUGCGAUCGAUUUUGAGCAUUUCAGUUGAUACCUUAUCGAUUGGAACAAGAUUUCUGAAAGAAAAGUUACUUUCUGACA